rnacentral:rRNA from 1 species
AUACGUAGGGGGCGAGCGUUGUCCGGAAUGAUUGGGCGUAAAGGGCGCGUAGGCGGCCCGGUAAGUCUGGAGUGAAAGUCCUGUUUUUAAGAUGGGAAUUGCUUUGGAUACUGUCGGGCUUGAGUGCAGGAGAGGUAAGUGGAAUUCCCAGUGUAGCGGUGAAAUGCGUAGAGAUUGGGAGGAACACCAGUGGCGAAGGCGACUUACUGGACUGUAACUGACGCUGAGGCGCGAAAGUGUGGGGAGCAAACAGGAUUAGAUACCCUGGUAGUCCACACUGUAAACGAUGAAUGCUAGGUGUAGGGGGUAUCGACCCCUUCUGUGCCGCAGUCAACACAAUAAGCAUUCCGCCUGGGGAGUACGGCCGCAAGGUUGAAACUCAAAUGAAUGGACGGGG